GACAAACGCUGGCGGCGUGCUUAACACAUGCAAGUCGAACGGAAAGGCCCUGCUUUUGUGGGGUGCUCGAGUGGCGAACGGGUGAGUAACACGUGAGUAACCUGCCCUUGACUUUGGGAUAACUUCAGGAAACUGGGGCUAAUACCGGAUAGGAGCUCCUGCUGCAUGGUGGGGGUUGGAAAGUUUCGGCGGUUGGGGAUGGACUCGCGGCUUAUCAGCUUGUUGGUGGGGUAGUGGCUUACCAAGGCUUUGUCGGGUAGCCGGCCUGAGAGGGUGACCGGCCACAUUGGGACUGAGAUACGGCCCAGACUCCUACGGGAGGCAGCAGUGGGGAAUAUUGCACAAUGGGCGGAAGCCUGAUGCAGCAACGCCGCGUGCGGGAUGACGGCCUUCGGGUUGUAAACCGCUUUCGCCUGUGACGAAGCGUGAGUGACGGUAAUGGGUAAAGAAGCACCGGCUAACUACGUG
rnacentral:rRNA from 1 species